rnacentral:rRNA from 1 species
GACGAACGCUGGCGGCGUGCCUAAUACAUGCAAGUCGAACGCUUCUUUCCUCCCGAGUGCUUGCACUCAAUUGGAAAGAGGAGUGGCGGACGGGUGAGUAACACGUGGGUAACCUACCCAUCAGAGGGGGAUAACACUUGGAAACAGGUGCUAAUACCGCAUAACAGUUUAUGCCGCAUGGCAUAAGAGUGAAAGGCGCUUUCGGGUGUCGCUGAUGGAUGGACCCGCGGUGCAUUAGCUAGUUGGUGAGGUAACGGCUCACCAAGGCCACGAUGCAUAGCCGACCUGAGAGGGUGAUCGGCCACACCGGGACUGAGACACGGCCCAGACUCCUACGGGAGGCAGCAGUAGGGAAUCUUCGGCAAUGGACGAAAGUCUGACCGAGCAACGCCGCGUGAGUGAAGAAGGUUUUCGGAUCGUAAAACUCUGUUGUUAGAGAAGAACAAGGACGUUAGUAACUGAACGUCCCCUGACGGUAUCUAACCAGAAAGCCACGGCUAACUACGUG